AUUUCUCUGAGGUGUUCGUCAGCGGGCCAGUCCCCUGAGCCGAUAUUUGAUACCACAAGAAUGUGGCGCUUGUUAAUUGGUGAGCAUGCUCGGUUUGUCCGAGAAGCCUUAAGAUUACGACGCUGCGUUCACCUUGAACCAUGGGUUCAAGGGUUACAGCUUGCGACGGCAUCUCGGAGAUCCC
rnacentral:other from 1 species